UUGCAUAUUCAAUAAGCGGAGGAAAAGAAACUAACAAGGAUUCCCCUAGUAACGGCGAGUGAACCGGGAAAAGCUCAAAUUUGAAAUCUGGCGUCCUCAGGGCGUCCGAGUUGUAAUCUAUAGAGGCGUUUUCCGUGCCGGACCGUGUCCAAGUCCCUUGGAACAGGGUAUCAAAGAGGGUGACAAUCCCGUACUUGACACGACUACCGGUGCUCUGUGAUACGUCUUCUACGAGUCGAGUUGUUUGGGAAUGCAGCUCAAAAUGGGUGGUGAGUUCCAUCUAAAGCUAAAUAUUGGCGAGAGACCGAUAGCGAACAAGUACCGUGAGGGAAAGAUGAAAAGCACUUUGGAAAGAGAGUUAAACAGUACGUGAAAUUGUUGAAAGGGAAACGAUUGAAGUCAGUCGUGACCGAGAGGCUCAGCCGGCUCUGCCGGUGUAUUCCCCUCGGUCGGGUCAACAUCAGUUUUGUCCGGUGGAUAAGCGCGGUAGGAAGGUGGCACCCACGGGUGUGUUAUAGCCUGCCGUCGCAAUCACUGGGUGAGACUGAGGAAUGCAGCUCGCCUUUAUGGCCGGGGUUCGCCCACGUCCGAGCUUAGGAUGUUGACAUAAUGGCUUUAAACGACCCGUCUUGAACACACGGACCCAA
rnacentral:rRNA from 1 species